rnacentral:lncRNA from 1 species
CAAGCUGCCGCUUUCAAGAUGUUUGAAACAAUAAAGAGAAAGCCGGAGAUAGAUGCUUAUGAUACCAACGGAAAGAUAUUGGACGACAUCCGUGGUGAUAUUGAAUUGAAAGAUGUGUACUUCAGUUACCCAGCCAGACCUGAUGAGCAAAUAUUCAGUGGAUUCUCACUAUUCGUACCAAGUGGCACAACUGCAGCUUUGGUUGGGCAAAGUGGAAGUGGGAAGUCAACGGUCAUAAGUCUGAUAGAAAGAGACGACAUCCGUGGUGAUAUUGAUUUGAAAGAUGUGUACUUCAGUUACCCAGCCAGACCUGAUGAGCAAAUAUUCAGUGGAUUCUCACUAUUCGUACCAAGUGGCACAACUGCAGCUUUGGUUGGGCAAAGUGGAAGUGGGAAGUCAACGGUCAUAAGUCUGAUAGAAAGAUUCUAUGAUCCUCAAGCUGGUCAAGUUUUGAUUGAUGGAAUUAAUCUCAAAGACUUCCAGCUUAAGUGGAUCAGAGGAAAGAUUGGUCUUGUGAGCCAAGAACCGGUGCUUUUCGCAGCAAGCAUUAAGGAAAAUAUUGCGUAUGGCAAGCACGAUGCUAGUACUGAAGAGAUUAAGGCUGCGGUUGAGUUAGCAAAUGCCGCGAAGUUCAUAGAUAAACUACCACAGGUUUUAUUUGGAACUUAGUCUGGUCAUGUUUCUAAAGUCUUUGCUGCUUCUUUCAGCUUUCUUUGUCAUCAUCUGAGCUUAUCAGGAACCAAACUAAGUUCCUGAUAGUUGUUGUUACUAAAGCUCCUGAUUGUUUAUAAAUUUUUGAUGUGUACCAUUAUUUACCAUUUACACGAAAACUUCUGUGUUCAGGGCCUAGACACCAUGGUUGGAGAACAUGGAACUCAACUUUCUGGUGGGCAAAAGCAAAGAAUUGCCAUUGC